GAUGAAGAACGUAGCGAAAUGCGAUACUUGGUGUGAAUUGCAGAAUCCCGUGUACCAUCGAGUCUUUGAACGCAAGUUGCGCCCGAAGCCAUUAGGCCGAGGGCACGCCUGCCUGGGCGUCACACGUCGUUGCCCCCCCAUCUACUCCUUCGGGAUUGCGGGGGGCGGAUGAUGGCCUCCCGUGCGCCUCGUCGCGCGGUUGGCAUAAAUGCCAAGUCCUCGGCGACGCACGCCACGACAAUCGGUGGUUGCGAAACCUCGGUUGCCCGUCGUGUGCGGUCGUCGCGCAUCGAGGGCUCGAAAAAAUUGCCGGGCUCCGGCUCGGCUUUCAACGCGACCCCAGGUCAGGCGGGGUUACCCGCUGAAUUUAAGCAUAUCAAUAAGCGGAGGA
rnacentral:misc_RNA from 1 species